AGGUCAGUCAGCAUCUGAGGAGCAGGAGAAUUGACUUCAUCAGGAAGUUCUCCUCCUCUCUCUACAAAGAUCUCAGUUAGUCCCUCUCCACUGUACUCCCCAAGUCCUCUCCUCUGCCCUGAAGUUCUUCAACUACGUCGUCAAGCAGACAUGCUAUCACAGCCACUUCCAGAUAAAGGGUUCCAGCCAAAACAUCGAUUCUCCUACUCCUCAGAUGCUGCCUGACCUGCUGUGCUUUUCCAGCAACACACUCUCAACUACAACAUGCCAGACUCAUUUUACUUGGGAUAUUUAUACAAGAAGAUACAAGAAUCAUUCCCACCACGAUAUUUGAUCCCCUCAUUGCUCCUGAAAUGCAAAAUUCUGCUGGUAUCUACUGGACUUUGUUGCCUUUUGUAUCCCUAGCAAUCACAUUACGAUCAAAGACUAUUGUGCAGAGCAGUCCUGGAGCAGCACAAGGGAAAGUAUGUCCCAAAAUGAAUGUGCCCUGCAAGGGGAAGUGUGUCCUGGAACAGCGCAAAGGGAAAUGAAUCCUGGUGCAGCGUGAAGGGAAAUGAGUUCUGGAGAUCCAUGAGAGGAAAAGCAACUCCUGAAGCAGUGCAACCUCCCUUGGUGCAAAUGAGUGUUGGUGCGGAACAGACUGGAGGCUUGGAGCAGAACGGGACUGUUGUUGGACUGGGGCGUGGCGGGUGCACUGAGCUGCUGCAAUGUAAUGUCGAUCUGAAAUUCAUUACCAGACCGUAACGUCAAUCCUUGAACUAUGUUAUAAUUAUCUUACUUCUAACGUAUUUUUUAGACACAGUAAGUAAUGCAAUUGCUUUUUCUUUUAAUCCUCUUUUUUGUAUCCAAGAUUUUUAUGCAGGUGCUUGUACCUAAGAUGGUACUAUUAGAGCAAUCAUUGUAAAACUCUACUCCUGCACUUUUGUACUGGAGUACACUUAACAAUAAAGGAUAUUCUCUUCUAAUUUUGAGAAGUAAUACAAGCCUGCCUUUCUUUUUCAUGACCCCCGAACUCUCUGUUGUGCAUUGCCAUCAACUUCUACCUUUGAAGUAAGGUUCAGAGUUUAAACUGUUAUUUUCAGAGCUCUGCAUAAGGAAUGCAUGCCUUUUCUAGGAUCUCCCGAAACUUUUCUGCUUCCACUGUAAAUUUGCGAUUCCACAGUUUAAAGCAAUUGGAUUGGCAAAAAUACAUCUCCACUUAAAAGUAUUUUCAAAUGACCCAGCAAGUUAAUGCUUCAUACCUUGUCCAUUAUCCCCUCCUGGCAAAAUAGUAUUAGCUGGAAUUGAAAAUGGGCCUUCUGCAGUAGGAACCCAUCUACUAUUUUUAAAGGUCUACAGACCAAAUCUGGCUUCUAAUGUCAGCCAGGGCUCUUUUAGCCAUUUUGUAUUCCUCCAUCAACCUUCAAUUUUAUAAUUUGCAUUGUUGUUAUCAAAUCCUUCAAUGGCCUCACCCCUCACUAAUCUCCUCCACCCUCACAAUAUCUGUACUUUUCAAAUCAGACCUAUUCAAUAAUUUAAUUUCCUUGUUAUCUUUGAUAGUCUUUCAGCUGCUGAGGGUCUGAGUUUUAGAAUUCAAUGAAAACAGAAGUGGAUGUGCAGCAGCUGAUUGAGGUACCAAACUUGCAUUAUACCUCAAUACAGCUCAUUUGCAAUGUGCUGAAGUUUAGUUAGAAUACUUUAUUGAGAUUUCUCGUACAGCCAAUUUCAUGACUUUAUUGAAUGCAUUUGCUUCCUAAUUUGCUAUGCCAUCCAUUAUCUCCGCAGAGUUGUAACUAAAAUGUUACUAUGGUUGAUUCCAGUCAGGGAUUCAGGAGAUGUGAGAAUGGAGGAGGUAAAGUCCACAUUUUUGAUACAACCUGAAUGGAAGUGAUCCCACUUUCUGUGUGUUUUAUAGAGAAAAGUGAUGCCUGUGUAUAUGAUAGAGCACAUCAAUCCUUGUUAAUUUAAUACAUAUUAAAAUAUUAUAGAGAACAGCAAUCCAUGUCUAUAUUACAGAGAAC